rnacentral:lncRNA from 1 species
AAAAUCAGAGGUUCCUGCAACUCAUUCUUUUAUUUCUCGAUGCCCCUUGGCAAUCAUUAUUUCACCUGACCGUUUGAUCCUUUCUUAACAACUUGAAAAUUGGUUCACACGUGGCUGUUAGAGGAGAUGUGAACCAUGACAUGUACUUCAAUCUACCUAAUAGACCACGAACCUCUUUUUCUGUUCUCGAUUCAGGCACUUCUUGUUUUUCUUUCUCUCUUUUUUUUUUUAAGCAGGAUCAACCUCGAUUCCUCUCUUACUUACAAUAAACCCCCAGCAGCUUACCGGCCCGCACUCUGAUAGUGCAC